UACAGAGGGUGCGAGCGUUAAUCGGAAUUACUGGGCGUAAAGCGCACGUAGUCGGCUUUGCAAGUCGGGUGUGAAAUCCCCGGGCUCAACCUGGGAACUGCAUCCGAGACUGCAUUGCUAGAGUAUGGGAGAGGGAAGCGGAAUUUCUGGUGUAGCAGUGAAAUGCGUAGAUAUCGAGAGGAACACCUGCGGCGAAGGCGGGUUGCUGGGCUGACACUGACGCUGAGGCGCGAAAGCUAGGGGAGCGAACGGG
rnacentral:rRNA from 1 species